CUAAGGAAGAUGGAGAGCCUCCCCGGGUGACCGGAGAGACGUCCGCCUAGGCACCUCCAGCCGCGGACGUCGCCGGCAGAGAACCGGUGGAGGUCUCUCCUAUUUUUUUGUCGACCUCAGAUCAGACGAGAACACCCGCUGAAU
rnacentral:rRNA from 1 species